rnacentral:lncRNA from 1 species
CCCCCACAUUCAGUCACUCACAAUUCCUGUUGUGUUCUAUAUUCUCAUAGUAUUUAAACUCCUACAUUACUCUAAACUAAAAAUAUUAUUAUAAUAUUUAAUAUUAUAUAAGUUAUUACUUCCAUGGCCUCAUUCUUGUCCACAUUUAUUUUCUUUUCUCCAAGGUGCCGCUAAUUUGAUUAUGUCAAAUUUGUUUCUAAAACCAUUUAUAAGGAAAAUACCUGUUCCAUGGAGGAUACAAUCUAUAAGGAGCAUUGUUUUUUAUUUUUAAUAAGGAGCAUUAUGAUAAUUCAACUGCAUUAUAUCAGUUAACAACCCAGAAUUCUUUGCAUAACUUUCAAGAGAAUACCAAAAGGUCUUAUUGUAGUUUAUAUUGAUCUUUAUAAUAUGACAUCAGCUGUUUCUUGCUCACUCCUUCAUCUCUUCCCAUCUCACAUUAUCAAAAUUAAAAUAAACUGAAUUACUUAUUGCUCUCUGAAUGAGAGAUGCUCUCUGUGGAUCUUUGUAUAAGCAGCUUCCUCUAACUGCACCUCCUUUUUAACCUCUCCUAGCUAGCUCCUAAUCAGAACAGACCCCUCCUUUCCUGAUGUCCAUGAUCUGUGUUCAAAGACCAUAUGGAAUACUUUAAUAUUAUCAUCUAUCUACCCAUCUUGCUCUGAACUAGGAAAUAAAUGAGUAGUAUAAUGGCUUUUUUGAUAUGUCAACUUGCUAUAGUCCCUAGUGAUUCAAUUAAACACUAAUUUAGGUGUUGCUAUGAAGCAAUUUCUAAUCACUUGAAUUUAAAUAAGGGAGGUUAUCCUAGAUAAACUGGGUAAGCUUGGCUGAAUCAUUCGGAAGGCCUUUAAAGUAGGCCUGAGGUUUCCCUGAAAGGGAAGAAAUUCUCCAAUGGAGAAAAGCUUCAACCUAUACUCAUGGAGUUGUGAUCACAAUCAUACUUGUGAUCUUUCCUACUGUCCUGCUUCUCUGGUUGAACCUUAACUGAUAUGCAGAGGUACUACCUUUUUUGUUGUGUUGUUAUGCAUGUCCUGUGCAAAAUCCAGUGCCUGACUAAUAAUAUGUACUCAGUACACUUUUAAAUGAGUAAAAAUGGAAAAAAAUCAAUUUUGAAACAAUCAAGACUUCUCAAUAAUUUGACCACUGAGAAACCUUGGAGAAAAUCAUAUAGGUCACUAAUACUGCAAAUCCACAGAUACACACACACACACACAGACAUGGUCUCUAACUUCAAGGGGGUUGUAAAGUUGCUUGAAAAAUUUUUAACUGUCUCUUAACUGCUCCCUCUCCAAUUCUGCUCAGUGAAAGUUUGCUUCAUUUCUCUUAUGUUCCUCACCAGUCUGUGACCCUUAUUUAAACAGAUAAUUUAGCCUUCUAUUUCACACACACAAAAAAAUGGAGGACUCUAGGGCAUAAAAUCCUUUACUAAAAAAAGAUAUAUUUUUAUACUCAACUGCACUUCUUUGCCCAAGUUUCAAAGGAUGUACAUGUCUCUCUUUCAAUUCAAGCCUAAAUCCUAAACUUUGUCUUACAUUACCUAUAAUUUCAUUUUCUAUAUCAUUUUGUUUCCUUUCUUUUUCUGAUAAUCUAUUUUUCUACUAAAAUCAUGAAUAAUUGGCUCUUUUUAACUUGUCUAUCCCCUCUAUUACUUCACCAAAGUCUCUUACUGAGUCAAAAACAAUGUCCCAACAUGAUGGACUUAUUUCAAAAAAAAACAUAUGAUUAGUAAGAGAAAACUCAUUUCAACAAACAUUGCACAGUAUGUUCAUUGUAGCAUUAUUCACAGUAGCUAAGGGGUGGAAGUAAAUAAAUAUUUAUCAAAGAAUUAAUGGAUAAAGAGAAUAUGACAUAUACAAACAAUAGAAUAUUAUUCAGCCUUAAUAAGGAGAAAAAUUCUGUCAUAUGUUAAACCAAGGAUGAAAUUUGAGGGUAUUAGGCUCAGUGAAAUAAGCCAGUCAUAAAAAAAGAAAUACUUCAUGAUUAGAUAUGAUGUAUCUAAUGUAGUCAGACUUAUAGAGACAGAAAGUAGGAUUAAAGUUGCCAGGGCCAGAGGGGAGGCGGGAAGGGGAAAUUGUUCCAUGAGCAGAGAGCUUUGGUUUUGCAAGAUGAAAAAGUUCUAUGUUGUGUAUAUAGUUAAUAUCGUAUGCUUAAAAAUGGUUAAGAUGAGAAAUUUUGCGAUGUGUCUUUUUACCACAAUAAAACAAAACAAAACAAAAACAAAAGAAACUAAGUCCUGUAUUGUUUGUUACCACAAUAGUUGAUGCAUUUAGAGAGGCAUAUUAAUAUGUGAUUGUAGGUAUGCAAAUAGGAAGCUUUUAGUGUAAGAACAAAUGUACUAUUAGUAGCAGUUUCUUUUUGCUUAGUAUCCUUCCUAGAAGUGAUAAACCACCUUUAUCACCUAUUACAACUCUUGUUCCAAAAAUUAAUACCAUAGAUACUUAGAGGUUGAGAUCUACUUCAUUUAAAAGCCACGGUGAUCCACACUCGAUCAGUUGUCCCAAGUAUCCUAAUUUCCUAGAUUAUACCACUUCUUGAAUUCUCCUAUUUGUACCUGUGUUUAGUCAGUCGACUUCUUGGAGCAUUAUUCCUCAAAAUAUCACUCCAUCUCCAGAGUCAAAUCUUCUUUCUCAUCUUUGGAAAAAAUAAUUAAGGCAACAUAGCAAUCAAAAGUGAGGAUGUUGGGAGCAAAUUCAGAAAGUGAUGGCGAUUUACCCAUUGGUCAAGGACGUACAGCCUCCUUCAAUUUCAGGCAAAGGUAUUAACCAAAAUUAGGCUCAGAUAAUUAAUUACUAUUGAAGCCUACCUGCAUGUCGGUACACCAAAGGACCAGAAGAGCAAAGUAUUUGAAAGAAAUCCAAGCUUCAAUAGCCCGUGAACAAUAAAUAUGUCUGCACAUAGUGAUACAAGUUCUUUUCCCUUUCCAGUUUUACAGUUUGCAUGCACACAAUUAAAUAUACUUAUUUAGAAGAUUUUGGUGUAAGGUAAAGCAACAUGUCUCUAAAAGGAAAGUAUUUGUUUGCCUUUGUAUUUUUAAAAAGUCUUUAAAAUUGCUUUGAUUCUUUACAGUCUAGAAUUUUUAUGAUUACUUUCUCAAAUAAUUACUAGAGGAAAAUUUUAUCCAUUUUUAUUUUUGCCUCUGUUCUUCUGGCAAUACAAGUAUUGCUACAAGCUUCUUUUCCUGAUAUUUUGGAUAUCUCUGUGUGUGACUGACAACCCUCUCCACCUUGAUCAAUUAUGAUAAAGACUAGUAAAAACUGUUAGAAUUCUUUUAAAAAAUUCUUUAUAUGUGGCUCUGAGGUCUUUUUACUAUUUACUGAAUUCUUGAAAACUUAAUUAUAUACCAAAAUAUUUAGAAUCGUGGCCUAAAACUUUAUUAUAUCUUCAUUAUCUCAUUUUCCAUAAUUUCUGAAGUAAAAUUGUUUUCUAGUAAAUAAUAAAUUGUACUAGUGUUGGUUUAUGUACAUUUUGUGAUAAAAAGAAUAAAUUCUCCCUAAAACAAGCUAAAGAUGAUUUUUAAAAUUAAAAACAAUUUAAAACCUUAGUUUAUUUUUAAAUA